UCGAUUCCGACCGCGCGUGGAGCACGUUCUGUUCCCUUUCCCUUUCCUGCUAGUUUCCUUUUUGGGAAAACCCACUCGACCACUCAACCGCAUCUUAUCCUAUCCCCUGCGCCUCGCCUCCCUACUCUGCCCUGCCGCUUCCCCUCCUCGCCGGCGGCUCGGCUCCUCCCUCGCGGCAGCCCACUAUCCCCGGCGCCUCGCCUCCCUACUCUGCCCUGCCGCUUCCCCUCCUCGCCGGCGGCUCCUCCCUCGCGGCAGCGACCAAUACGGCGAGACGACGCGGCCGCACGAGCGGCGGCGAGGUCAGCGUUGAAUACGGCGAGGCGCCGCGUCCGCAUGGGCGGCAGGGGCCAAUACGGCAAGGCGGAGCGGCCGCACAGCCGCCGCGAUGUCCAGGGGCGGAAGCGGCCAAUACAGCGAGGUGGUGUCUGUCCGGCGGCGGUACGUCCUCCUGCUUGGGCUCGACCUCCCGCUGUGCGUCCGCACCGGCAUCACCAAUCUUCCCAUCCGCGUCCGCGUCGGCUCCGAGGAUGUCCCGAUUUGGCCACCGGAGAGGAUUGGUUCGAUUGGUUCAAAGGAGUAGGACACGGCCAGGCCCUGCAUUGGUUGGUGCAUCUUGAUGUCUACCAUUUGAUACUUCACAAUUUUGGUCCUUGCCCCCCCCCCCCGGAAGCCAACCCCGUUCAGCGAAUCUAUGGCAUGAUUCAAUUGGUGUGUCUCAUGUCGUAACUCAUCCGCCUCAGUCUCGUCUUUCGUUGACGCCGGAGCACAACGAAGUAGUGUUCGGGGGCGCAUCUCUGCGGAAAUCCUUACAAGUAUCCGAACCGGCUGUGGAGAUUGGAAAAGGAAAUCCCUAGAUGCAUCUCUGAAACAAUGACAUUUUUUCAGUCAAUGAACUGAGACUAGCAGUUCAUUUUUAUUCUGUAGGGGGGAUCUUUCUUGGAUGAAAUUCUGAACACUAUUCAAAGAAAUAAGCAGCUGGCAUUUGUUCAAGAAUAUACUAAGUCUGUGAACAUUGUUUGUUUCUCUGUAGCAACUUAUUCUAUAAAUACUGAACACUAUGCAAGGAAAUCAGCAGCCACCAUUGUUCAAGAAUGUACUAAUUCUCUGAACAUUGUUUUGUUUUUCUUUAGCAAGUUAUUUCUAUAAAUACUGAACAUUGCAAGGAAAUCAGCAGCUUUCAUUGUUAAGAGAAUGAGCUAAUUCUCUGGAAAACGUGUUGUUUUUCUGUAGCAAAUUAUUGUAUGAAUUCUGAACAUCUGUGCAAAGAAACUGAGCUCUGAACAUUAUUCAAACAACAGAGAUAGAGCACAAUCUGUAUAUACAUGAGCAUUAAGCUAGAAGAAUUCCUAAUGUUACU